AAAUUGAAGAGUUUGAUCAUGGCUCAGAUUGAACGCUGGCGGCAGGCCUAACACAUGCAAGUCGAGCGGAAACGACAACAUUGAAUCUUCGGAGGAUUUGUUGGGCGUCGAGCGGCGGACGGGUGAGUAAUGCCUAGGAAAUUGCCUUGAUGUGGGGGAUAACCAUUGGAAACGAUGGCUAAUACCGCAUAAUGCCUACGGGCCAAAGAGGGGGAUCUUCGGACCUCUCGCGUCAAGAUAUGCC
rnacentral:rRNA from 2 species